CUCUGAACCAGCUAUGUCGCCGUGUAAGGAUGACAGUCUUUUAGAUUGUAAACUACUUUUGCAUAGGAAUAAAAGUUACUACCGUGAUAGUAGCCUGAAGGUACUGUGUGAAUAAGUGUCGGCUAAUUUCGUGCCAGCAGCCGCGGUAAUACGAAAGACACAAGCGUUAUCCGGAUUUAUUGGGUUUAAAGGGUGUGUAGGCUGUUUAUUAAGUCAGUAGUGAAAGCUUACAGCUUAACUGUAAAAUUGCUAUUGAUACUGAUAAUCUAGAGUAAGAUUGGAGCAUCUGGAAUGUAUGGUGUAGCGGUGAAAUGCAUAGAUAUCAUACAGAACACCAAUAGCGAAGGCAGGAUGCUAAAUCUUCACUGACGCUGAGGCACUAAAGCGUGGGGAGCAAACAGGAUUAGAUACCCUGGUAGUCCACUGCCCUAAACUAUGAUCACUAGCUAUUGGAAAAACUAUAUUCAGUGGCUAAGCCAAAGCGAUAAGUGAUCCACCUGGGAAGUACGAUCGCAAGAUUGAAACUCAAAGGAAUUGACGGGGUUUCGCACAAGCGGUGGAGCAUGUGGUUUAAUUCGAUGAUACGCGAGGAACCUUACCAAGGCUUAAAUGUAUUACGAAUAAGCUGGAAACAACUUAGUCUAUAAGACGUAAUACAAGGUGCUGCAUGGUUGUCUUCAGUUCGUGCUGUGAAGUGUUUGGUUAAGUCCUAUAACGAGCGCAACCCUUAUUGUUAGUUGCCAACGGGUAAAGCCGGGGACUCUAACAAAACUGCCGGUGCAAACCGUGAGGAAGGUGGGGAUAAUGUCAA
rnacentral:rRNA from 1 species